GACGAACGCUGGCGGCGUGCUUAACACAUGCAAGUCGAACGGAAAGGCCCUGCUUUUGUGGGGUGCUCGAGUGGCGAACGGGUGAGUAACACGUGAGUAACCUGCCCUUGACUUUGGGAUAACUUCAGGAAACUGGGGCUAAUACCGGAUAGGAGCUCCUGCUGCAUGGUGGGGGUUGGAAAGUUUCGGCGGUUGGGGAUGGACUCGCGGCUUAUCAGCUUGUUGGUGGGGUAGUGGCUUACCAAGGCUUUGACGGGUAGCCGGCCUGAGAGGGUGACCGGCCCCAUGGGGACUGGGAUACGGCCCAGACUCCUACGGGGGGCAGGAGUGGGGAAUAUGGCAAAAGGGGCGGAAGCCUGAUGCAGCACCGCCGGGUGCGGGAUGACGGCCUUCGGGUUGUAAACCGCUUUCGCCUGUGACGAGGCGUGGGUGAGGGUAAUGGGGAAAAAAGCACCGGCUAACUACGU
rnacentral:rRNA from 1 species